AUUCUGUGGUUUUCAGUGUGUGCAGACGAGGGAGGCCAAGAGAGAUCUGGAGGAUAUUAAGAAAGAAGCACCUCUUGCAUUUGGUGACUGGUUUGGAGAAAAGGAGUGGUGCCUGUAGAUGUUUGGAUGGGGGUGGCCGCUCCCACAGAUGACAUUACAGGAGGAGGAGCAGGUAGGAAGUGGACGGUGUGGAGUUUGACCCUGGCAACUUUGAGAUAAGGGUAGGCAGUCUGAGACGCAGGAGGAAGUUGGAGGUAGAGGACGUACUAGUGUGGUGAUGCUGGUUGAAGACAGGAGUGUGUUUAAACCUGGUGAACACUGAAGGACGCACCUGCUGUGUCGUCAGCUUUCACUCAAUUAAAAAAAGCUUAGGGGAUGUCUGCUGUGGUCCCAGAACCUCUGCAGUGACUCUGUUAGCCCUCUGCAGAAGCCUGCAAGGAAGAAUUUGUUUCCCGCUCCCGGGCCAAGCUGAAGAAAGGAUGUAGGUACGGGGAGCAGUCCAAUUUUACGGGGAGGUGCCGGGAAGAGCAAUGAGCUUGCUCAAGGUCAGACAGCACAGAAGGUAGCAGAGGGGGGAUCUGGAGCAGGUCUUUUGCAGCCUGGUCUUUAUCACAACUGCUUUUCAUGCUGUGGGUGAACUUGGAGCAGAAGGUGCUCAUAUUGGGGUAGGAUGUGGUACCCACAGGGGGUUGCACGAGUAGGUGGGCUGAGGUCAACCUGACCACGGCCUUGACUCUUGUUCAGGUACUGAAUUCUGUAUUGGGCACGUCAUGAGGAAGACUCACUCAACCCAGUGAUCUGGUAACCUUUGCAAAGGGUUUGGCUCUCUUUUUAUUAUCCUUGCUGGAGCAGGAGGCUUAACUGCCUCUCAGGCCUCCACAUCUCCUGCCAUCCAAGUGGCUGGAGGUGAGGUCUGCAAUGAGCCAAAACGGACCCCAGGGCAGGCCUGUCUCUGGUGAGAGGAGACGUUCCCUAGCAUGAGGUUUAAAAAGGUUUGCACAAAGGGGGUGAGGGGUGGGGGGCAAAGUGGGAGGGGGCACUUAAUCACCCACAUUUAUUUAGCAGGAGGCUGAGGUAGUGGGUUGAAUUGCAUCCCCCAUCCCCCAUAAAUAUGUUCAAGUCCUAACCCCUGGUACCUGUAAAUGGUCCUUCUUUGGAAAAGGGGUCUUUGCUGAUGUAAUGACCUUACUUGAGUGUGAGAUGAGAUCAUCCUGGAUUCGGGGUGAGUGCUAAAUCCACGAAUUGGUGUCCUCAUAAAAGAAAGGGGAGGGGGAUCUAACACACGCGAAGAGGUCCCUGGGAAGCUGGAGGCAGAGAAUGGAGGUCUGCCGCAAGCUCGCGCCCAAGAGCAUUUGGAAGGAGCGCAGCCCUAUGGACAUCUCGAUUUUGACCCAGGAAGACUAAUUCAGAUUUCUGGCUUCCAGAACUGUGAGAGAAUAAAUUCCUAUUGUUGUAAGCCACCCAGUUUGUGGUAAUUUGUUGUCAUAGCCCCAGGAAAGCAAUUCGGUCUCAAACACAGGGCAGGCAAGAGCCUCCUAUGCCUGAGGCAGGCAUCAGUAAUCACUCAGCAUUCUUUCCCAUGGAAGCCGGUGGAAGCAGACCCUGCCCCAUUCCGACCAGCUGCAAACCCCUGACUGGAGCUGGCAAGCCCCGUGAAACUCAUCGGCAUCCUUGGUUUGGUGCCUACCCCUGGGUGACGCCCUGGCAGUUCGGGAAAGGGUCUGGCGGGACCACGGUUCUCAAGGGGCUGGGCGUCUUUGCCUGUGUGGGGUGUGGGGGGCGUGGGGGGCGUGGGGAUGUGAGGUCUCGCCUCUGCAGCAUUAACAGCUCUCGUCAGUGUUUGAACAUCUGCUCAGGCCCACCUAGACUCUAUUCAACAGCUGGGCGUCCUCCAGCUCGCUGGCUGCCCAGCUGUGGACCUGCACACGGCAGCCCAGCAGUCAGUCGUGGCUUACCCCCAUGAGAUGAAUAAGUCACCCACCGAGCAUUCAGCAGUGAAAACCACGUGAUAAAUAAAAUGCACCAGUGCCUAGAUUUAAGGGCCUUCCCAAGGAGGCCUCCUUAACUUGGAAAGGAGCCAUGGAGAGAGCACAGAGGAGGUGUGACCUGGGAGCUGGGUCUUGAAGGAGGAGGAGAAAUUUAUCCAGCUUCCCAUAUUUGUGACCCUGAAGAAGUUGCCUUUCCCAUGGCUUCCUCCUGAAAGAAGUCACGGAAAAUUUCUCAAGGAGUUCAAAGCUGGAGUCUGGAUCCUCUCACAGCAGCUUUCAGAGCCCAGGGGUAGAGCUCAGGAAUCCUCCUUUCUGAGCCUGUGGCCCCCUGCUGCGCUGCCCUCUCCUUGCCCUGAAAAGUCACUGCUCACCUGCCAUGUUUGUUCUUGACCCCAGACCCAGUGAAAGCCCCUGUCCUGGCCUCAGCUCACAUGAAAAGGCACAGGUUACAAUAAUCAGGGAACAAUACGUGUAUCUUCAGGACAUGCCAAGCUUAACCAUUGAAGAGAGCUUGGGAUUUGGAGUAUCUGGCAAGGACAGUCACAGUGCCUUCCUGUAUGUCACUGUUGCUCAUGCAGGUUAAGCAGACAAGCCAACAUGUUACGAUUUAGAUAACUGUGCUGUGACGCGCUUCCUGCCACGCUCACCCUGCACUUCUGAGGCUCCCUGGCGGACCCCCUCAUGCCCUCCUGAUGCAGUGGACUACUUCAUGGCCGGUGGACACCUGCAGAGCUGAAAACCUGACCCUAGGGAGGCUGCUGUCUCUUCCCCCUGAGAGAACAGGGAAGGCUCUCACCUUAGAAGCACAGUCAUGGUAGUAGCUCUGGUUGUCUCUGUGGCCAGAGGGUAGUGAAGGGGGCACAGAUAGCAUUUGGGGAUGACCAGAAGAACACAGACCUGAGGUGGGGUGAUGGUGGAGCAUCCGGGCUAUUGUGUGGGGCUGGAUGCUGGAUAUGGACCCUUGGGCACAGGGUCUGUUAAGGGAUGAGAUGCAGGAAGCCCAGGGGGAACAUUCACCAAGGGCUCAGGUUUAGAUUUUUAUAUGAUAGCAAUAAAUAUGGGCACAGAGAUACAGGGACAGGACUGAAAGGCUUUCUGUCCCUUAAAACUGGCAGCUCCUGGCUUUCAGCUCUUAUGAUGGGUCAAGCACAGCCGCUGCUCACAAGUAAGAGAAUAGUGUGGGGUUAAAAUUUAUAGAACCUACAGUGCUUAUAAUACACUGGAAAAAAUAUGCACAUACACCCAUACAAUAUAUAUAUUACAUAUUACAUACAAUAUAUAUGCCAUUAAAUUCUGUACUCUUACGUGGCUUGUACUUUUGUGUUCAUAUAGUAAUUUGCUCAAUGUAAUGAUUUAGAUGACGUUAGAAGUUUUGUGAUCAGUGUCUGGAACUUUCCUUUUCUGACUGGCUGUGAGGCGCAGCCCCUGGAGGCCUAGCUGGCCCUUCUUUGCCAGCAGGCCCUGUGGGGAGAUGGCUGGUCCCUCUGAGCCUUCCUCUGCAGAUGGUGGGCUUGAGAUUGUCCAGGCUGCCAAUAGGACACCAUCUUUUUUUUGUUGUUAAGAAAAAAAAAAAAAUCAGUAAAUGUCUCAUCUGCCCAUCCAGAAAGAUGGGGACCAAAUGAGCAGUGUUUACCUCUUGGGAGAGUGGAAGGAUUUCUGCAUUUUUAUAUAUUGUGUGUCUCAGUGCACCAAAAGAGUGAGAGUUAUGAUUUUUUCCUUUUGUGGUUUUCUGUACCUUUAAAUAAAUAAAAUUAAAAAUAAAGCCCAGUCACUGCAUUCUGGGAAUAUUUGUGCUGAGUAGUCAUGUUCUAAGGUCACGGAGAUAGGGUUUCCCCGUCUCAGAAAGCCUGUCAGCACAAACGCACUGACUCCUGUGGCUUCCCCUAUUGCCUCUGCCAAGCCUGGGACCCUGAUUGCCCAUCUUCUGUUGGAGGUGAGGAGUCCUUUCAUGGUUCCUCUUGAACUUUAGGACAACUUAGGUGCCCUGAAGUACUUAAGGAGUCCUUUUUUGGAAGGGAGUUAUUGAAAUUGUGCCGAUUUUUUUCCAGAGGUGGACCCUAAGCUCCAGAUGACAAGUGCUUCUGCGCGGAGAGGGUGGUUUCGAGUCCUUGGUGAAAGGGAUCUGGAGUUUGGUGCCUCUCCUUUUCUCCUAAAAACAGGUGGUUCAGACCACGGAGGGUUUCUAUUUUUGGCGGGAGAAGAAACAUAGACCUCCACCACUGCGGGACAUCCUUAACAACAGCAAGCCGACUGAGGGAAAAUGGAAAUGGAUCAUAUUUUAAAACAGUGUUAUGGGUGUUGUUCCCAGACCACAGCCCAGCAGGGAUAUUUUAUCCCGUCCUCAGUGCAGGUCUGCCCCCUAUGGGCCAGAUUCUCGAUUUAUUAGUUUCAUCAAGUCUGGUAAGGCUCAGAAGAUGCAUCU